rnacentral:miRNA from 1 species
UGCCUGGCUCCCUGUAUGCUU